rnacentral:lncRNA from 1 species
GCAAAUUUAAUAAUAACUAUGAUACUCCUUGAGUGUAGCUUACUUGGCAAGCUUUGUACUCUAAUCCAGUUGCUCCACAUGCUAAACGCCUGGUUGGAUCCUUUUGGUAACGGGAUAUCAUGAGCUUGUCACUGGUUUUUUUGCCAUCCUUAUAGAGAUCACUUCUUCAAUUGCCAGCUUUAUAUGCGCCCCUACAUUUUUAUCCCACAAAACAGUAAAUCUCUUAUUUUUUUGCCAUUUUCGCUGAUGUGGUGUGAUAUAUGGGCAUUGCCAGCGUGGCAGCGAGCCCUGAGAACCUCUAUAGGGCAUGUCAAAUGACCCUUUUACCCCUGCUGCUUCUCACCUUCAACUCAUUGACAUAUGGGCCUCACAUGUCAGCUCCUUCUUCUACCUCCAGCCAUUACUAUGCAACAAAGGAAGAAAAAAUUUUUGGAACGAAACAAUGCAGACGUGACAGGUAGAGAUAAUGGGGAUAGGUUGCCCUUCCGGAGCGUAAAGGGGUUCGAAAUGUCAUACCAAAUCAGGUUGUCGUGCUUUGCCAUAUGAAUUCGCCUUCGCACAAUCCCUUCUGAUAAUCUGCAUAUCCCCAAAUAUUCCUUCUGAAUUAUCUGUCAUCUUAUAUGUCAGUACGCACUCAGUUCUCUGAAUUGCAGGUCCUUGAACGUGAUUGCAUCAUUGCCGUAGAUCGAGGUUAAGCUGAUGGCUGAUGACAGCAUUCAGCGAGCAUUGAUAGAGGAUCCUAUAAUGUGCUGAAAAGGAAGCCGUCAGAAGGAGCCAAACGGUUUCAACGAUGCGGGUCAACUCCCUCAGAUCCCACCGAUCAGAAACCUGCAGAAAAUAG